rnacentral:tRNA from 10 species
GCCCAGGUAGCUCAGUCGGUAGAGCAGAGGAUUGAAAAUCCUCGUGUCGGCGGUUCGAUUCCGUCCCUGGGCACCA